rnacentral:rRNA from 1 species
CGCGGUGGACUGUGGUUUAUUCGAUGCACGCGAAGAACCUUACCUGGUCUUGACAUCCACAGAACUUUCCAGAGAUGGAUUGGUGCCUUCGGGAACUGUGAGACAGGUGCUGCAUGGCUGUCGUCAGCUCGUGUUGUGAAAUGUUGGGUUAAGUCCCGCAACGAGCGCAACCCUUAUCCUUUGUUGCCAGCGGUCCGGCCGGGAACUCAAAGGAAACUGCCAGUGAUAAACUGGAGGAAGGUGGGGAUGACGUCAAGUCAUCAUGGCCCUUACAACCAGGGCUACACACGUGCUACAAUGGCGCAUACAAAGAGAAGCGACCUCGCGAGAGCAAGCGGACCUCAUAAAGUGCGUCGUAUUCCGGAUUGGAGUCUGCAACUCGACUCCAUGAAGUCGGAAUCGCUAGUAAUCGUGGAUCAGAAUGCCACGGUGAAUACGUUUCCCGGGCCUUGUACACACCGGCCCCGUAUAA